GGGCCGGUAGUCUAGCGCGGUUAGGACAUCCCCUGAGGAGGCUGAGGCCGCCGGUUCAAGUCCGGCCCGGCCCACCA
rnacentral:tRNA from 1 species